AAAGAGGUUGAGAAAGAUAAACAAUAUGGUAUUUUGAAUCGGAGGGAAUAGCUUUUUAGAAUCAUUUGAUCCAAUCAUCAAAUAAGCAAAACACUCUCUCUGAGACAUUUGCAAGUGAUUUGCUUCAUAUGCUUAGGCACAUGCUGAAAGAAACACAUGUGCCUUCCUGUAAUUUGUUCCUUCCCUGAUUCAGAUCUUGAGGUCAGAAUUGAAUGGGAACCUGAUUGUGAACUGUGGAGUAAUAAGUGGCGAUUUCUUUAUCUCGGUAAGCGUGCUCGGAUUCAAUCCAUCUUUGAAAUCGCAGGUACCAAUAAGGAUUUGAUCAUCCUAUACCGAUCCCUUUCGUGCAGACUAAGAUAUGGUGACG
rnacentral:lncRNA from 1 species